ensembl:lncRNA
AGGUAAUGUAACAGGCCAGAGUCUCAGGUGACUUUAGGAUGCUAUUAAUAACCUGUCAGGCGUAACAUUGUUCUUUGAAACCAGAAGCUAUUGGCUGUGGCAGCUGAUGGCUCCGAUGUGGCUUGGUAGUUCCUGCAGAUACCACUGAAACCCGUUAUCUUUCUAGUCUUGCUGCUGCCAUCUUGAGAGAGAGGUUGUGGAGCAGGGUGGAACCCAGUGUGACUGCUCUGUGGAUGGGGGGAAAUUAAUUGUUUAGCUGGACUGUUUUCCUAAUCCACCUUUUCUCCCUUUGUGAAAUCCCGUAUAAGUCACACGUGACUAAGUUUGUAACAAAGCAAGCAGCUUUCUCAUUGGGGAGUUCCCUGGCCACCAGCAGGAGAUGUCCCAGCGCUGCAGGGCUGGCAAUGGUAGGGGUCCUUGGAUCUGUCCAGGCAAUGCACUUUUUAAAGAAAAGUGUAUUUAAGUGUUGAUUUCAGAGAAAACUGUUCGCAGCCUUGUUGCAAAGUGAUCAGGUGAGGCAUCUCAUUUUAGUGUCCUGUGGGCUGGGGGUGAGACAGUUCCCCAGUAGCAGCCAUACUAGGCCAGAAGGCUAGUGCCCAUGGGACCUGCUUGUUUUUGAACUAUGGUAAUGUAGACUGCUGAAACCCUGUUACAGCUCCAAUGUCCUUCUGUUCUAAUGAUUCCCAUUUCUCAAGCAAGACUCUGCCUCUUUUCCUGUCCUGUGAGAAACUGGAUGGAAGUUGCCAUGCCUAUCCGUAGCUUCCUAGAGGAAGGGAGCUUGUCUAAGCCAUGAGCAUCACUUUGCCAUCAGCAGAGGUGCAAAUGCUUCAAGGAUGGUCUUAGCAUUGCUAGCUUGAGCACAGCCUAGUCAGUCUGCAUGGUGUGAUUGGGUGGACCAUAUCUAAGUGCACAAGAACAUCUGACUUUGAUUUUGCGGCCAACUGAUUAGCUGUGCGGAUAAGAUGGUAUGAUUUCUGUGGCUUUAGAUGAAGUGGCUGUAUCCACUGAGCAGCAGGAAAUGUGUGCGUGCCUGUCUACUUGGUAGCCUUCUUUGAUCAUGUGUAAACUGCAUCUGAGUUCAGGUCAAUCGUACUCUUUCCCUGUUGGUGUGUGAACACACUUGGGCUUCUGAUUAAUCACUAAUAUUUGCAGAGGUUUGACUGUCAGGCAGUAACUCGGUCUGCUACAAGUCAGCUUCAGCAUAUUAGGAGAAUGUUAGAGUUGACUAGAAAUAAGCAAUUUCUUAAAUGAGCGUGAGCAUUUAUAAGAGUGCUUGUGCCUCUGAAACUUAGGUAGCUGAAGCCUAAAAUUUGCAUCUAAGCAACUGAAUAUAAUCAAAUAUGUGAAUAGUGCACAAUAUUUUUUUUCUCCCUGUUAGGGAAAUUGGGAAUUGCUAGAAGAAUUGCAAGAUGCAUUAGGAAUUGGUGUGCUGGGAGACAACCAGCAAUACCAAGAUUAGAAAUAUUGGGAUGAGUGGAGGUGAGGAGUAUUUCUCAGGCUUAUCUCAACCUUAUCUACAACUUCCAUUAAUUUCCCUGGAUCAAAAAGCCAUCUGGUUAACAAGACAUGCUUUGGGCAGAAAGUAGGAGGCAUCGUCAGCAUGGAAGGAUCAGAAUUAUCAUACCAGGAAUAUUGAGACCAGAAUAACAGAAAUGGGCUGAAACUCAGCAGCACAGAGUUCUCAGUGACUAAUAACAAAAACUUAUUCUUAAGCAGGGGCUUUGUCAGUUAGAAAAUACUGAGAAGGAGAAAGAUGUCGGUGUAUUGGCUGAUCACAGGAUGACUAUGAACCAUCAAUGUGACUUUUCUUGUGAAAAAGGAAAAUUUAGUGUAAAGAGGCACCAGGUGAAUCAUGAUGAGGCCUGGUCCCCUCUGGGACACAGGAGUUAGAGUGGACAUGAAAAAUCUAUUACACAAGAUUGCACUGAAAGGAAGCCCAGCAAGAAAAUCUACAAGAAGGCUAAACAAAAUGAAGGCACUGAGUAAUUGUAAAGUACGGGCGUCUAACUCAAUCUGUAGUGCUGCCAGAAGAAUAAACACAAGAAAUAGUGAUGAAUGUAAUUCGUCUGCAAAUUAGGAGUUCUCUUAGAAACAGAAGUGCCCAGAAAUGUAGCCAGCCAUUUCCUAAGAUGACACACUAGAAGGACCUAAAGGAGAGACCUGCAAUAGCAUGGCAUGGUCUGGAAGCUGGUUCAUUUAGUGCAGGGCUCCCAGACAAGCUGUUAGUUAAGCUGCUGCAAGUUUUGUAGAUAGUUUGUUAGCACAAAAUUAAUCAGUGGAAGCUAGUUUGCUGAGAACAUAUGGAAAUGUGCUUUUGUAAUUGUUUUAGCUUACAGAAUCCUUCAGAGAUUUGAAGUUGUUCCAAGCUACAUUCACAGGCCUCAAGUUUGCUGAGGUAAAUUAAGCCAAAUUCCCGCUGAGGGAAUGCAGAUUUUAACAAAGUACCCCUGCACACAUUGGCACUGUUUUUUAACUAGACAAUUCAAAAGCAUGUUAUUAGAUGAUAGAGGGGUGAUUUCCCUGUGUUCUUGCCUAAAUGGGGCAAUUAGAGAUUUGGAAAGUAAAGAUAAUAAUUAUCAGUGUAUGCUUGGAGUAGCUGCUGUAGUCUUUUUUUGAACUGAUGUCCCUGCAGCCAUACUUCAAGACAAAGCCUGUGUCAUUGUUAUCAGAAACAUAUUGCUCUUAUACAAAAUAGAUGUCCACUGAUUUGCCAGUACAAAUAUUAGAUGCUUUUUGCUGGUAUUUCUAAUACCCGUUCAUCAGUGUUUUCAAUUCUGUAUUUGAACAGUAAUCUGUUUUAUGUAGGAAGUCAUAUCUACAGGAGGACAAACGCUUUUUCCCUCAUAGUCAAAAAGGGUUUGGGUAAUUUUGUGUGGGUCGAUGGGAUCAAAAAUAGAGAGGCAGCCCUAGGAAAACUAAAUCUAACAACAGUGCCACAUGAGAUAUGUUCUGCUUGGGAACGUUGCUGUGCUACAAGGCACAGGGAGGUUGUAGCUCACCCACCUCCAACCACAGUACGCCCCUUUCAGAUUAUGCCUGCCCUACUCUUCCAUGCAGCAGAUGUUGAGUUGGAGUGGAUGGAAAAUGGAGAGGGCAUUUUUUGCUAUCACCUAAAACCCUGUAUGCUUCUGUGUUCCGUUUUCCUAAAUUGUGAGCAGAAGAGGGACUCUAUUGAGUGAGAUUAUGGCCUGAAGCAGAUGAGUCUGCAAGCAUGUUGUAGAUCUCUGGAGUUCCCUUUCCUUACCAUUUUGCAGCUUUUACUUUAGACUUGGAAUCACUGUGUUCCAUGCUGGUCCAACCUCAACAUGAUUAAGCGUGUUCCUGUAAGGAAGCAUCUAUUCUUACCCAUUUAAUACCUGCUACUGCACUAAUGUGAGGAGAUCUCUAGUUAAUGGCUUUUUCGACCUUGGGAGGUUGAUGCAGAGCUUGCUCCCUUUGUGCAGCACCUUAAUCUUCUCCUGAUGAUCGGGGAGUUUCAGAAUGAGAGACCCAAGCAGUGCAUUGUCCAAAGUCACUGAUGUGAUCAAAAUCACUGAUGCUUGAUGCAGCUCUCAUAGGGAGGAGCACCUAUUUCUCAUCAGCACUUAUUCCCUAACUUCCAUCAGGAGCUUAUCUACUGCUUCUGAUCCUAAAAAUGGGUGCUGGAGGCUUUAGGUCAUCUCCACUAAGGCUCCUGGCCUUACUCUGAACCUGUUAGAAACUGGAUGGGAUUAAAAACUGUGGGAGUUUCCUGUUCUAAAUAUGUUUUGUAAUGUGUUGUUAGAGAGAGGGACUGUCCACUCCUGCUUCUAGGUUAUAAAGAUUGCAACUCGAAGUUUUAGCUUAUAUUUAGCAGGCUACCACAGAAUUUCUUGUGAUUAUCAUGUUUCCCCAGAUGCUCUGGUUGUUCUGGGAAGUGCAAUCAACUCCCUAGUAGCAAUUUAUUCUCUUAUCACUGUUUUCUGUUGAGUUAAUUUUCUGUGGAUGCAUUUCCAGCCCUACAUUCUGAGACUUCUUAGAAACAGUGCAAAGUUCAGGUAAAAAAACCAGGUGGUCCUAACCAGGCAGGUCUUGCGUCCCCAUCUUCCUCAUUGCUGGGAGCAGUUUGAGCUGCAACUGGAUAUCUUUGGGCUACUCUCCUUAGGUUGCUUCCUCUUACACUCAUGUACCACCAGAUGCAAAGCAAGAGGGAAGCUGUUGGAGAAGACUGGAAGCAGUUUAUCCCUGUCCUUGUUUGUAAGGGAGGCACAAAGCACUGGGGAUCUAGAUCUGACUUUUUUUUUUUGUGGUUAAGCAAAAUGUCUGUUUUAAAAGGCUGGAAACUGUUUGGAGCAUCACUGGAAGCAAAUGAGCAGUUUUUGUGAUUUAAUAGCAGUGGAUAUUUCUUGCUUGGAGCCACGUGGGUCAAGGCUCAGUGGUAGAUAGGUCACACCAAAAUAUUUUUCAUGCAGAAAUCUUUAAGUGGAGAAAGAUAUAGAGAUAUAUAUAUAUGUCACUGCCAGUCAAACAACAAGUUAGAGAUAAAUUGGCAGUGGGAUGCAAUGAACUAACCACAGCGGGAAAUCAUAACUCUGUUCAGGCAGCACCACUAAUGCAGUCCUUGUGACUUGAAGUGGUCUACCUAUUAGAGUUGAAGGAACCAGUGAAAUGGGUACAACCUGGAGCAUAAUCCACUGAUAAAGUCUAAGUUUCAAUAAAAUAUUUUUAUUUACAGUAAGUCAUCUGUAUUUUCUGCCAAGGAAAAAGGCUACUUGGAGUAUCAGCACUUAUGUAAAUGCAGAGUAGAUGUUUAUCUUAUCUGGAAAUAAGUGCCAACUUCAGCUGGGUAAUUCUGGUUAAGGAGGUUGUUUAGGCUCAUAAUGCUGAAGGGCUUUGACAGAUAAGCCUGUGACUAACUGCAGUGCUUUCUGGUGCUGCUGCUGCAACCUCUCACAGCUCUCUUAGCUUGAACUGACAGUAGAAGUCAUUUUAACCCAUAUUCUGUGCUAUGAAGCAUAGCCAUGAGCCCAGGUGCCUCUUUGUGUCUGCUCCUGGGAGAAGAGCAACUCCUUCACCUUCCCCAAUGUCUCACGUGUAUGAGAGCUGGCCCUUGUUACCCGUGCCAGGGUGAGCUCUGCAGGGCUGCACAUCUUCAAUGUUGUAUAAAGAGGCUAUGAUGCUCAGUGGAGAGGAAGAUGGCUGUGAGCUCAGACAAUCCAACACAGAUAUAUCACCCUCUCCAUACCUUUAUUUCCUAAGAGAUGAGAGUAGUAAAUCUUACAUUCCUGUUCAGUUACUUCAAGAUGAAUGUUGAGUAAAAUAAUGAAUGAGAGGUAUUUGUAGAUUCUGCAUAUGACUCUUCAUGCAAAUUGAUGCAUUGCUUCUUUAAAACUGGUUUCACAUCACUUUUCUCUUAGAAACUUUUUGCCUGAGCAGAUAAAGCAGUCUUUCUCCCCAAGGACAUUGUAGGAUGUGUUUCCGUCUCCCCUUUCUUUGCCAGCAUGCAAGUCAGACUGAAAUGGGUUUUACUGUGGCAUUUUAGAAGGCUGGCACUUAGCAAAAUAAGGAUGGACCAAUUCAGCUGGCAGGCAAAUGUGCUAGUACAGCUACGGCAUAGUAAAGUUGCAGUCUCAAGCAACACUGUCCCUGGGCAUCUCGGUACAAGGACCCCAUGGAUCUGUUACUCCUCUGGGGCUGUCUGAGAAGCACAGAGAGGGGAGCUGCAUUGCUUGCUGUGUUUUCUGCCUCACUCUCUGUGCCAGCCUAAGGCUGGCUGUUCUGUGUUGUUGGGUGGGGCAGAGAGCUGGAGUUUGGCUGUGACAGGGUAGGGUGACACCGAUGAGGAGUCUGCAAGUGUAGGCAGGCACAAGGAGUUUGUUUGGAAUUCACUUCUGGCAGACUAUUCUGUCACUGUCUGGUCUGUGGAUGAGGUCCAAGGGCACUUUGGUCCCCAGGUACCAUGCAGGUUCUUGGUUUCCCAAUAGUGACCAGCAGCAAUAGGCACCACAGUGAAGAGGUGACAUCUAGCACAGCUGUGCCUGGGACAGGGGCUACUCAGCUCAUGCAGAGCAGCUUAUGACGUGUGGGAGUCUGACUUGGUCUCUAAGCAAAGCUGCUGAAACAGUUAUGGAAAUGCCAUUUUCUGAGCAGUGCCACCAUGGAGAAGGGGACUUGUGUCUGAGGAAAGGCACUUCUGCCAAGACCUGCCCUGGGUAGCAGCACUGACAUGGGGAAGCUCUUGCUGAGGUUCUUCUGUGCUUGCUCACAGUCACCCAUCUACCAGUUUACUGUCCUCACAGUACAGCUUCCACUAGAUCAAAAGUCAUACUUAGGUAAUAAAAAAAUAAUAAGACUUAGCAUGCAGCCUGGACUUGUGGCCUAUCCCAAUAUGGAGAAUGGAUAUCUUUGUUUUGAAUCAGUCAUUCCGGAGUGUGCUCUGGUAUUUCAUUUCCUCCCACAAGAAAUUUAAGUGGUUUUUAAGACUUCAUCUAUCUCUUGGGCUUUGGCUGUGGGAAUAACUGUAGUCAGAGCCAGGUUAUCUUUUUUGUGGUACUGUUGGCAGCAGCUCUGUUGCCUCUUCUAGUGUGUUGCACAACUCUCUGGGGGAGCACUGACAGUAGGAUCCCCUUUUCCUUUUGUGACUCUGUUCUGAGAGCAGAGUACUGGAGGAGGAUAUCUGCUGGUGUCAACAAAAAUGAUCCUGAAGAUGUGGCUGCCCUGCAGUACCACCUGGAUUGCAAAGGGUGAGGUGUACAGACUUGCACUCAGACUGAUGGUGAAAAAGCAGUAAAUGGAAAAUAGCCAACAGCAGUUGUGCUGAAGAUCAUCUUCUCUCCCAUUUGUGGAUAUGAAGGCCUUCUUUGUCAGCUUGUCCAGGGAAUAUAUGAUUUACAGUCCCUGGUCAUUAAUUUCUGCAGCUUAUCAAUUACUGGUUAAUGAGGCCAUGAAAUGCAUACCAUCUUGUAGGAGAUCUUGGCUCAGGUUUCCCAGUUCGUAGGAUAUCGUUUGUGAAGACUUCUUUCAGAAAAUUGCUUCUGACAGAUAGAUUGCUUACUUGUGCACAUCCUUAUGCAUGUGAGACCUGGCAGAUCUGCUGCCUGCUGAGCAGCUUGCAGAGAGUCUAGCUGCUGCUUUAGUUUACUAGUGUUUUUCAUUUUUUUCAUUUAUCUUCUAUUUAUGCAGCUAUCUUUAUUUACCCAUAUGGAUUAAAUUAGCCAUAAAUCAUAGACUUGUAGAAUAUCCUGAAUUGGAAAGGACAAGAAAGGAAAAAUUAAGUUAGUUAAACAGGAUCUUCCCCUCAGGAACCCAUGUUAGCUGUGACCAAUGUCAGCAUUGUCCUUUAGGUGUUUUUUGAUAACUCCCAGCACAAUCUUACCAGGCACUGAAGUGAGACUGUUGGGCCUGUAAUUACCAGGGCCUUCUUUCUUGCCCUUCUUGAAAAUCAGAACGUUUGUCUCAGUUGACUGGAAGUUGACCUGUCUGGGUUGCCAAGGCCAUUGAAAAAUAAUUGAGAGAGAUCUCAUGAUGAUAACAGCAAGUUCCCUGAGUAUCCUGGCAUGAAUUUCAUUGUGUCCCAUGGACUUGCAUGCAUCCAGAUGGAGCAGCAAAUUCUGCACAAGCUUGAGGUUGGCUGGGAGUUGGUCUCUACUGCAGUCAUGAUCCUCCAACUCUGGGAUGCCAGAGCUCAUCACCAGGAUUGAAGACAGAGGCAAAAGAGGCAUGAAACAUUUGUUUUGUCUGUGUCCCUCUUUGUAAGAUGACCACUCUCAUCAAGUAACGAACCAAUGUACUCUCUGAUCCUCCUUUUGUUGUUAACGUAUUAAAACAAACAAACAAAAAACAGCUUUAUCUCCCACAGUAUUGGCCAGCUUCGACUGUGAGCUUUUUCCACGUGAAUUUUCUCCCUACAAAGGCAGACAGCAAUCCUGUAGUUGUCUAUUGUUGCCCAAUCUUGCUUCCAGCAGCCAUAUACUUUCCUUUUCCAUGUGAGCUCUAGAAGAUUUCUGUUCAACUAAGCCAACCUUCUGCCCUGCCUGCUGCACUUCUGAUGCUUUGGAAUGACCUGUUCCUGUGCUCUCAGGAGGUGACUAACACUGAUGGACCCCAUGCCUUCAAAAGCAGUUUCCCAGGGGGAAAUGGUGGGAGGUUAUCCAUUUCCUUCGUAGGCACCAACCCAUGGCAUACUGCCAUACAUUUGGAGAAGAGCAGACUGGUGCUGGUACAGCUCCCGUGAGAGCUGAGCCUCUGGUUUACCUUCUCAUCCUUUCAAGCUGGGCUCAGGUGCAACUUAGGUGCAUCUCAGCACCCUGCCAGGAGAGCUUCGGGGGCAGAUAUGCCAUCACACACAGCAAAGCUGCAACUGCCUCCCACUUUUUCUAGCUCUUGCUUCAAAAUGCUGACCAGAGAAAGGUGCUAAAGUGGUGAUGACUGUUCUGGCACUGCCUGUGGGUUCCCAGCACAGCCAGAAGUUUGCAAAUGUCCCCUGGAAGUUCCUGUGCAGAGUCUGAUGUUGAGAUAUUCCAGGUGUGUGUGCUUUGUGUGAGCAGGCUCUUCUUUUCUCCCUUUGUGACAGGGGAAGUUGCACUGCAUCCGUGGUGCUGUGGUUUGGGAUAUAUUGGCCUUAGACUCUUGAGGUAGUCAGAGCUCAAUCUCCUGGUAAGCAGGAAUCUCUCCUAGAUCUGACUCAAGAGGCAGUGUACCCAGUGUUAGACCACUGGCAAAAGAAGAUGAAUUCCAUAAUUAGGAGGAUGUUGGAAAAUACAUUGGGCAAUCUGAUAUUUUCUGGCAUGACUUAUAGAUGUUGGUGAAGUCCUUGGAUUCCUGACCCUGGUUGUUAAAUUUCUCAGUCCUCACAUGACUACUGUUUCCAUGUGCAGUAAUCUCCAGAGGGUGGUGUGUGUAAUCCUGGAAGUUUAGCUAGUAGGAACUUGGGUAUUGUGCUCUAGAGAACAAAGGAAAACACUUCCUAAGCACAUCCUUGCAGUUCAGGGGGAGAUGGAAACCUUUUUCAGUUAGAUGUGCACUGUAGUUAAGAUUGCAACUAUAUUUAUUCAUUAGCUAUUGAUAGUAAUUAUUUCUCUUUAGAUUUUCCGGUACUUUGAACGAAAAGGAGUUCAGUAAUAGUGCAGUUAUGAAAUACUUUAAUGACGCUAUAGGACGUUCUGCCACGGCUGGUGUUGCAUGUUAGCUUAUGUGGGUUUUUUUUUUUUUCCCAAAACUGGGAUAAUGAGUUUUCAUAUGUGAAGCAGCUACACAAAGCUUCUCUGAUUAGGAAGUGGCAACUGUGAGGAGCUGUGCUGGAGAUGGGUGUGCCUGUGAGCAGCCACAAAGCAGAAUAAGCGUCAGUCAUGCUGCUUCUUGGUAGAUGUGCUGGGGCAUACAUUUAAAUUAUUCAGCGCUGGAUUAAAAUAAAUUGAAGGAAACACUGUCUUCACAGCACACAAUCCAAGUGCAAUGAAUUACUACAAGAUAUUUUAGAGGCUGAAAAUGUAUCUGGUCAUGGAGGUUAGAUACAAAAAGGUCCAUGACUGACAGUCCUCACAAGUCAACUACUUUGCCAAGAGGUGUAAAGCAGUGGCUUCUGAUGUGUAUGUGUGUAUAUAUAUGCACCUUUUUUCUUCCUCCAGAAGAAUCUGCUUUUUACUGCUGUCAGGAGCAGGAUAGUGGGCUAGGUAAAGUAGCUUUCCUGGGUGAACGCUGUUACGUAAGAGUUGAGCACCGUGCAUGGUUUUGAAGAGAAAUCUUGGUCUCCUGGCAGAUGUCUGACCACCAUGUCCUGCUAUGUCCUUGCCACCGCAGGAGCUUUGUACUGUGACCAAGGAAAUACUAGCAGAGCUUUCCACAAGCUUUACCAAUAGAGGUUAAUUAAAAAAAAAAAAAAAACAAUAGUGUAAGGUCUCCAGGGAAUUUUGAAAAGUAGGAUGUCUCGCUACUCCUUGCUCUCCUUCUUUACCUUGAGAAUGGAGCAUGAGCACUGGGAUUCCAGAAGAAGAGGACUUCAGAAGAGAGAAACUGAGUGGAGUGAACACAUGUUCAGGUGAAACUACGAGAUCUUUUAGAAAGCUAAUGACAGCUGCUGCCUAUUAGUAGGAAUUGCCUGAUAGUGCAACUACUGCAACCUGAUAGCCUGCAACUUUUUAAUGCUUCAGGUUUUGCUGAGAUUUUCAGCAUUAGUUUGGGAGGUUUCCUUGUAGUUCUCAAUUGUUUUCUGUUCCUUUUCUUGAUGCUUGGAUUGCACAAGCUAUAUGUGGGCAGAGUGAGAGGAAGUGAAGGAAAAGGAAGCCUCACAAAGUUCUUGUGGUUUUACCCACAAGAGAAGGCAGAUUUCUCCUAUUUGUACACUGUUUUUCUCUCUCUGGGAUAAUUACUGCUCUGUCAGGAAAAGAUGGUGGGUAUUCCUUGGUUGUGAGCUUUCCUAUCAAGUCUAUGGUGUGAAUUUGUCACCAGCUCUUAGAAGGUAGAUCUGGUGUACUUGUUAACUUUUGUGGCUUAGGGAGAAUUAUCAUCAUCUUGUUGUGAGGUGUUCCUAAGAAAAGACUGAAGAUUUGCCAGGAGCAUGUACUGCAUCAGUUGUAAGACAUUAAUACAAUAAAUAAAGGAUCUAACACAUGGAGGUUGAAAGAGUCUUAACUCAGUGAAUCUUGAUUCAAUUUUCUGUUAGAACCACUCUACGCAACAGUUUCUUACUUGAAAUAAGAAUGUAUGUAGGAGGAUAACCCAUGUGUGAACCUAAUCCUGAUGUUCCUUCCAAAGCACUCAGUGCUACCUCCUGCUAGAGGCAGACUUAAUCUCAAAUAGCCUUUAAUGUUUGAUUGAGUGCUGCUUUUCUUACACACACAUACAGCUGUUGGCAAACGCAUUUUUUUUCCUACCCUUUUUAUUAGGAGACUCUCAUGCUGAAAGAUCAGCGCU